GACGCACGCUGGCGGCGUGCCUAAUACAUUCAAGUAGAACGCAGUUGCGCACGGGUGAGUAACACGUAGGUACCUGCCUCAUAGCGGGGGAUAACUCUUGGAACCGAUAGCUAAUACCGCCUACUGUGAGAUGGACCUGAGUUGGAUUAGCUAGUUGGUGAGGUAAAGGCUCACCAAGGCGACGAUACAUAGCCGCCCUGAGAGGGUGACGGGCCAAACUGGGACUGAGACACGACCCAGACUCCUACGGGAGGCAGCAGUAGGGAAUCUUCGGAAAUGGACGGAAGUCUGACCGAGCAACGCCGAGUGAGUGAAGAAGGGUUUCGGAUCGUAAAGCUCUGUUGUUAGAGAAGCGGUAAGUAACCAGAAAGGGACAGCUAACUACGUGCCAGCCGCCGCGGUAAGUC
rnacentral:rRNA from 1 species